rnacentral:rRNA from 1 species
AUACGGAGGAUCCGAGCGUUAUCCGGAUUUAUUGGGUUUAAAGGGUGCGCAGGCGGGAGAUUAAGUCGGCGGUGAAAUUUUGCAGCUCAACUGUAAAAGUGCCUUCGAUACUGGUUUCCUUGAGUGGGGAUGAAGUAGGCGGAAUUUGUGGUGUAGCGGUGAAAUGCUUAGAUAUCACGAGGAACUCCGAUUGCGCAGGCAGCUUACUAAACCACUACUGACGCUCAGGCACGAAGGCGUGGGGAUCAAACAGGAUUAGAUACCCUGGUAGUCCACGCAGUAAACGAUGAUUACUGGCUGUUUGCGAUACAAUGUAAGCGGCUGAGCGAAAGCGUUAAGUAAUCCACCUGGGGAGUACGUUCGCAAGAAUGAAACUCAAAUGAAUUGGCGGGG